CAGAGAUUCAUUAAUGAGGAAAGUUUUUGUUUUGGUAUGUGGUUUGGAAGCCCUUAAUUCAGCUGUUAGUUGGGUUGGGGCCAUUUAACCCUGUUAGUUUUUCACUGUGUUAAGGUCUGGUCACAUUAGAGGGAUUUCGCGAGCAAAUAAGGUCUAUUUUUAAUAUUGUAGUAUUAUAUAUGAAGCACAGCUCACGCAAAAGUCACUUUCAAACCAAGCAACUUGGUCAACAUGUUAAAUCCGUCUGACUAUCUUAAAUCUGUGAGUAAUGUAAAUGACUGGAUUUUGCUUUCGAAACUGUAAAUGUGACCGCACUUUUUAGUCAUGUUUUAUGUCCUUCUAUUGACCAUUAACAAUGUGCUUUAAGCAGGGCUCCAGACUGACUAGGAUAAUCGCAAAUGUGACACAAUACAAAUUUUCUACUAG